rnacentral:misc_RNA from 1 species
GAUGAAGAACGUAGCGAAAUGCGAUAAGUAAUGUGAAUUGCAGAAUUCAGUGAAUCAUCGAAUCUUUGAACGCACAUUGCGCCCGCCAGUAUUCUGGCGGGCAUGCCUGUUCGAGCGUCAUUUCAACCCUCAGGCCCCCAGUGCCUGGUGUUGGGGAUCGGCAGCAGGGCGUCAAGCCCGCCGGCCCCGAAAUCUAGUGGCGGUCUCGCUGUAGUCCUCUUCUGCGUAGUAGCACAACCUCGCAGUUGGAACGCGGCGGUGGCCAUGCCGUUAAACACCCCACUUCUGAAAGUUGACCUCGGAUCAGGUAGGAAUACCCGCUGAACUUAAGCAUAUCAAUAAGCGGAGGA